AUUGAACGCUGGCGGCAUGCUUUACACAUGCAAGUCGAACGGUAACAGGCCGCAAGGUGCUGACGAGUGGCGCACGGGUGAGUAAUGCAUCGGAACGUGCCCAGUCGUGGGGGAUAACUACUCGAAAGAGUAGCUAAUACCGCAUACGAUCUAUGGAUGAAAGCGGGGGACCGUAAGGCCUCGCGCGAUUGGAGCGGCCGAUGUCAGAUUAGGUAGUUGGUGGGGUAAAGGCUCACCAAGCCAACGAUCUGUAGCUGGUCUGAGAGGACGACCAGCCACACUGGGACUGAGACACGGCCCAGACUCCUACGGGAGGCAGCAGUGGGGAAUUUUGGACAAUGGGCGCAAGCCUGAUCCAGCAAUGCCGCGUGCAGGAAGAAGGCCUUCGGGUUGUAAACUGCUUUUGUACGGAACGAAACGGCUCUGGUUAAUACCCGGGGCUAAUGACGGUACCGUAAGAAUAAGCACCGGCUAAUUACGUG
rnacentral:rRNA from 1 species